rnacentral:lncRNA from 1 species
CGAAUUUCUGGUACGCAGACUGUUAAACAGAGUCAAUAUUUUCCUCGAUUCGGGAUUCAACCGGUGACUUGGGACACCAUAAAUCUCCCAAGUGGCGACUCUGAAAUAAAUAAAUAAAUCCCGUUUCGAUUGUCCUUUAAUUGAAAAAACUCUCUUUUACGCCCCUUUGCGGGGUGUAGGCAAAAAAGGAGGUGUGACAGCUAAUUCUUACUAAAAGAUAGUGCUUUAUGAAAAUUUCUCUCCUUAUAAUUUUAUCACAAUCCGACAACCUCAAAUCAAAUGAAACGUUAACAGAGGAUAAUUUCAAAAACCCAUUUCAGUUAAGGUCUUAAGUCAAUUCAACCAAUCCAUAGAAAAACACAUCAUGAACAAAGUCUCAUACGCAAUAUUAAGUGAAAGGGGCAAGAAAUGGACCUUUGUGAGCAAAUCUUUUCAAUUUAACAGUCUCCAGCCAAAACUUGUACAAUCGCCACGGGUGAAUUGUAAAAUAAAGUCACUGACCAAAUUUGAACCCAAAAAUUGACUCAAGAUGGAAAUCGCGCACGGCCUCAACGAACCUCGACCACAAACCGAUGAGAUAACUCUUAGUUAAGCAGGAAUUAAUUUUAAUACUCGACAGACCAUGGACAAGACCUUAACCGAAGCUCCGACACAUUCGACCUCGUCGGAAAUUCGAGACUAGUCGGAAAGACAAACUUCGAACCCCAAACUUUAAAAGCCUCACUUCGACUCCAUUGUGGGGUGAUGCUCGAUUUUUGUGGGUGGCGGGACGUUAGAGUUUAGGUGUUUGACUGGAGUUUUUUCGCUGGUUUUGAUUGAUUUUUGGAUAUGGUUUCACUGCUGAUUUUUGAUGGAAAAAGUGGCGUGUUUGGUGUUGAACUCGACUGAAAAAGGAAGAUGCUACAUGGCUUUGUUUUGGGGCUGGUUGAGGUCGCUUUUGAGCUUGAUUUGGGGUGUUUUUCAGCUCGUUUUUUGUGAUGACCAAUAGGUCAUCUAGAGCUUUAACCCUUAAUUUUGUGUUUUGAAACCUCAAAAAGAUCCUUUUAGCUAUCC